GAGUGUUUAAUUCAAACAAAGCAUGGCGAUGACCGGAAAUGGUGUUGACGCAGUGUGCUUUCUGCCCAGUACUGUGAAUGUCCAAGUGAAGAAAUUUAACCAAGCGCGGGUAAACGGCGCGAGUAACGAUGGCUCUCUUAAGGUAGCCAAUGACUCGUCAUCGAACUAGUGACGCGCAUGAAUGGAUGAAC
rnacentral:ncRNA from 1 species